GGUCUAGCAGCUAAGACUCUGCAUUCCCAGUGCAGGGACCCAGGUUCAAUCCCUGG
rnacentral:tRNA from 1 species